AUCUCUGGUUGGGGAUCCCUCUCUUGUGGAGUUCUUUCUGCAAGCCUAGAUCUUUGGAGAUGAGAGCGGCCCAGGAAGAUGGAAGUCUUUCAUUGUUAAAUCUCUGCAAGAGCUGUUUAAACACACACACAAAGUUAAUAUGCGCAUUCUUUACAGUAACUUUCUUCAAACUGGAGGAAGGAGAGUUCUGUUCUGUUUUUGGCAGAGCCUUUGGAGCAGGUUCUGCCUGGAAGGCAUGAACCCCCACAGCUUGGUCUUGAGGACAAAGGUAAAUGCCUUAUUCUUUUCCUUCUUUGAAGGCAAAAGAAAAAAUCACACAAACAACAAAGGAGCAGUCUUGAUGAGAGGUGAAAGUGUUCAUCUUUCCCAGUUUAGGACUGGGGGAUGGUUAGUAUGAUAUGUCAGAAUGUGGCCUAAAACAAUAUAUGUAUUCCUUAUGAGGGCUGAUUGGAUUUUUGAAGAUCUCUGAAAAUGAAGAUCCCACAGCAUUUCUGUGCAAUCUGUUCCUGUUUUAAUUCAUGGUAAAAAAAAAAAAAAGUGUUUUCUUGUGUUCACAUGGAACCCACUAUAUUUGAUUUAUACACAUUGCUUCUGGUCUUGUCACAGGCCAUGACUGAGAAGAGCCUGGCUCCCACUUUUAUUUUUCCCUUCCAUCAAGUAUUUAUAUACACUGAUAAGACUCCCUCUGAGAUUUCUCUGGACUCAGAGAAGAGUCCAGCUUUGUAUUCCAUUCCCUUAACCAGGUUUUUGGUCCCAUGCUGGACUUGGACAGACUGUUUUUUCUUGCGCUGGGCUGGUGUUGAAUGAAGGGGAGCAACACCUCCCUCAACCUUCUGGUGAUAUUCUUCUGAAGUCAACCCAGGAUGCCAUUUGUCCUACUUGUCCUUGAGAUUAUUGUUCAACCUGUUGUCCACCAGGUCCUUCUUUGAUGAACUGCUUUUCAGCUGAGUGGUGCCAGCAAGCACUGAUGCUCAGAAGUAUUCCUUCCAGGUGCAGGACUUUGCCCUUCUCCUUCUUGAAAUUCAUGAAGCUCCUGUGGGCCCAAUUCUCCAUGCUGCUCAUCUCCCUUUGGAUGAGAGCCUGAUCACCUCAUAUAUCAUCCACUCCUCACAGUUUUCAUAGAAUCAGAAAAUUGCUCGGGUUGGGACCUUCAAGAUCAUCAAGUCCAACUACAAAAAAAUGUAUAACUGAACUUUCUAGUGGUGUACUCUGCCCUGAUAUCUAGGUAACUAAUGAAGAUAUUAAGCAGUGUUGGCCCUGUAUCAGUUCCUGGGGUGCUCCACUGCUUCCAACUGGACUUUGUGCUGCUUGUCAUCACAGUCUUCCAAGUCAGGCUGUUCAUUUAGUUCACCUCACUAUGCACAUAUUUAACCUGUACUUUGUCAGCUAGACUAUGAGGAUACUGUGGAAGCAGGUGUCAAAAUCUUUUUUUCUUUCUUGCAAGAUUAAAUGUCAGAUACUGUU
rnacentral:lncRNA from 7 species